CACGUAGUUAGCCGGCGCUUCAUACCCGGCUACCGUCAACCCCGCCGCAACGGACAGGGGCCUUCACCACCGGAGAAAGAGGUUCACAACCCGAAGGCCUCCAUCCCUCACGCGACGUCGCUGCAUCAGGCUUCCGCCCAUUGUGCAAUACCCCCCACUGCUGCCUCCCGCAGGAGUCUGGGCCGUGUCUCAGUCCCAGUGUGGCCGCCCACCCUCUCAGGCCGGCUACCCGUCACCGCCUUGGUGGGCCAUCACCCCACCAACAAGCUGAUAGGCCGCGAGCCCAUCCCCCACCGAAACACCCGAAGAUGAAACUAUCCCGACCAGGCCCAUGCGGACCAGCCGGCACACCCCGUAUUAGCCGCCCUUUCAAGCAGUUAUCCCAGGAGCAGGGGCAGGUUACUCACGUGAUACUCACCCGUUCGCCACUCAACCCACCCCAAAAAACAGGGACGGCCCGUUCGACUUGCAUCGUGUUAAGCACGCCGCCAGCGUUCGUCCUCGUAGCCGACGGAGUCAAACUACUA
rnacentral:rRNA from 1 species